UGCGUCCAUAUCUCACGCGUUGGAGCGCCUCCCAGCCAUCCGCUCAUCCCGAGCGUGAACCAUGGCGUCCGCAAUCAGCUCCCGAUCCGUCCGCGCCUCCCAGCCUCUACCCAGCGUCCAAAGAUCCGUCCGCCUCCUCCACAGCAUCCCGUGAAUGGUCCCAGCCAGCCGUGAAGCGUCGCGAUGUCCGCAAGCCCGUGAUCCCAUGCCUGCCGUCCGCCUCCUCCAUAGCCAACCACCUCCUCCAUCACGUCCGAGCUUUCCAUAUCUUGCAGCUAGCUGGGAUUUGCUUCAUUCCGUGCGUUCCUUCCGAAUUAGCUUCCGGAUUAGCACUCCAUCAGUCCGCUUCCUCCCGCGUCC
rnacentral:lncRNA from 1 species